CAGAGAGAGAUACUGUCUCAAAAAAACAAAACAAACAAAAACAAACAAACAAAACUAGAAUGUAGGUAGGAAUCAGGAUAACUGGGAAGCAAAUUAACCUCGACCUGGGACUUCUUUAAAUGAGUUUGCACAGCUGUCUCAAUCCAUGUAAAUCUCUUGUUAUAUAAACCCACUCACUUGAUCAACAGAAACAGAGGGAGUCCAGAUGUUAGCGGAUAGAGCUCUCAUGCACCCAGCUUCCCUAGCUUGGAAUACGCCAGCACUGUCUAAAAUGAAGCUAAGCAAAACCCAAACAAAACCAACACCCAAACACCAAAAGCAAACCCAAACAAAAUCCCAACCAAACAAGUUACAAACAACUAAGGAUAUUUUCUAAACCCAUUGACUGACUCAUGACUUUCUGGUCUCCCUGGCUCAGAUUUCUGAGAGCUUUAAAAAAUUGUGCCAAACAAGGAAGUACCAUUGCUUAAUUAGGUCUUGCCAAUUAUUUUGCCUGAUUUUACUUUUUUUCUACCUCCCUGCUCCAUUCCAGUGACAUAGUAGGCUUCCCUCGACUUUCUACAUCAGCACACUGUAUCAGGUAGUGGACUUCCUGGACAAGCUCUAUACCACCUUUGGGAAAAAUUAUAGACCAUUAUGAUGUCUACAACAUGGAGACGAUGGGAAAUGCUUGUGACUAUUGAUGUAUGGGGUGCAGUCUAGUAACACAUAGAAGGACUGAGACCAAUAGCCAUGUUGAAGAGGAGACGAUGGUUCUCCCAUCACCUUCAUUACUCCACCUGCUGCUCAUGAAGGUUGCUGCGGGAUGUGCUGAUUAACUUGUGUUUUGGUCGAAAUCUGAAGUGAUGCUGAAUCUUCGUCCUUUAAUGUUGUCUGUUUUAUUGUUGAACAAUUUUAUCAUGCAUCGUGUGAACUUUUAUGCUUAUGGUGUGUAUCAUCACAGCACUGGACAAUAAUGACUCACACAGUAGAAUAACAUAACUGUAUACUUGCAUCAAGGGUAGUUAAAACAUG
rnacentral:lncRNA from 1 species